UACGAAGGGGGCUAGCGUUGUUCGGAAUUACUGGGCGUAAAGCGCACGUAGGCGGAUCGAUCAGUCAGGGGUGAAAUCCUGGAGCUCAACUCCAGAACUGCCUUUGAUACUGGGGAUCUCGAGUCCGGAAGAGGUGAGUGGAACUCCGAGUGUAGAGGUGAAAUUCGUAGAUAUUCGGAAGAACACCAGUGGCGAAGGCGGCUCACUGGUCCGGUACUGACGCUGAGGUGCGAAAGCGUGGGGAGCAAACAGG
rnacentral:rRNA from 1 species